AAGUCGUAACAAGGUUUCCGUAGGUGAACCUGCGGAAGGAUCAUUAAAAAAUAAUGAAUUGCCGGGGCGGAUUUUUUUCGUCCCGGCGUAUUCAACAACCCGCUCUUGUAUUUGGAUCAAACGUCAAACAAAAAAAAACUUUUAUGUAUUAUAAUAAAAAAUAAACUUUCAACAACGGAUCUCUUGGCUCUC
rnacentral:misc_RNA from 1 species